rnacentral:lncRNA from 1 species
UUAUAUAUUGUUAUAUAUUUUCAUGUUAUGUAAAACUUCUUUAACAUAGAUAGAUUUAUGUAACAUAGACACCCGAAAAUUGCGAUAUAGGUUGACAUCUAUUUCAAAUGAUAUCAAAAAUUAACUUUGAAUGUGUAUGUAAAAACACUGGCAACCAGCUUGUAUGCCAAUAUAUAAAAGUCUCAUUGACCCAUGUUUCAGUGUAUGCUGAUGUAGCUUCUAAAAUGUGAGAGGGCAAGGAAAUUAGACGUUACAGUACUUUUCACAAACUAAUCUGGCUUUAGUCUAUAUACUACAAGAAGUAAUAAGAAAAAUCAAUUUCAGAAGAUUACCAAUCCUUUCUUCCUGGCAUCUUUUAAAAACUCUUAAAAGUGAAUUUGGCAUUGACAGAUACUAAAUGGCGAUAAUUAUGUUAUAUCAGCAAAACGAGUAAUGAACAGUUUUAGUCUUCAACGGUUGAAAUUACUCAGCAAACAUGAAUUCAUUGAAGAAACUGAUUGUCGUUGCUCUAGCAUAAAGAUCGUUGCACGAUCGACCUGAUAAAAGAUGAAAUUACUUAUAUAUGUGAUUAAUUAAAAAAAGACAAUUAGUUUGUAAAUAAUCAGGUGAAUGGUAGCCUUUAUUAUAUGGCUGGUUGUGUUCAGCACAGGAUGUUGUGCAUAGUUAAUGUAACAAUAUCAGUUUUUCAGUUCCAAAAUUAAAAAUUAUGUUUCACAUAGUAAA